AAGUCGUAACAAGGUUUCCGUAGGUGAACCUGCGGAAGGAUCAUUAAUGAGUGAGGGUCUCCGGGCCCGAACCUCCAACCCUUUGUCGUUACAAAAAACCUUUGUUGCUUUGGCGGGACCGCCGGCCCCCCCUUCGCGGGGGGGGCGGGGCUGCCGGUCUUCGGCCCGGUAUGCGCCCGCCAGAGGUAAAAAACCAAACUCUUGUUAUAAAAACAGUACGUCUGAGUAAAAAAGAUUUAAUCAAUCAAAA
rnacentral:misc_RNA from 1 species